rfam:Hordeum vulgare subsp. vulgare, WGS project CAJW01000000 data, contig: morex_contig_1518443
GAUAUCUCGGCUCUCGCAUCGAUGAAGAACGUAGCGAAAUGCGAUACCUGGUGUGAAUUGCAGAAUCCCGCGAACCAUCGAGUCUUUGAACGCAAGUUGCGCCCGAGGCCACUCGGCCGAGGGCACGCCUGCCUGGGCGUCA